UACGUAGGGUGCGAGCGUUAAUCGGAAUUACUGGGCGUAAAGCGUGCGCAGGCGGUUCGUUGUGUCCGAUGUGAAAGCCCCGGGCUUAACCUGGGAAUGGCAUUGGAAACUGGCGAGCUUGAGUGCGGCAGAGGGGGGUGGAAUUCCGCGUGUAGCAGUGAAAUGCGUAGAGAUGCGGAGGAACACCGAUGGCGAAGGCAGCCCCCUGGGUCGACACUGAAGCUCAGGCACGAAAGCGUGGGGAGCAAACAGG
rnacentral:rRNA from 1 species